AUUGAACGCUGGCGGCAUGCCUUACACAUGCAAGUCGAACGGUAACGCGGGGCAACCUGGCGACGAGUGGCGAACGGGUGAGUAAAGCAUCGGAACGUGCCCAGUAGUGGGGGAUAGCCCGGCGAAAGCCGGAUUAAUACCGCAUACGACCUAUGGGUGAAAGGGGGGGAUCGCAAGACCUCUCGCUAUUGGAGCGGCCGAUGUCAGAUUAGGUAGUUGGCGGGGUAAAGGCCUACUAAGCCGACGAUCUGUAGCUGGUCUGAGAGGACGACCAGCCACACUGGGACUGAGACACGGCCCAGACUCCUACGGGAGGCAGCAGUGGGGAAUUUUGGACAAUGGGCGCAAGCCUGAUCCAGCCAUGCCGCGUGCGGGAAGAAGGCCUUCGGGUUGUAAACCGCUUUUGUCAGGGAAGAAAUCCUUUGGGUUAAUACCUCGGGGGGAUGACGGUACCUGAAGAAUAAGCACCGGCUAACUACGUGCCAGCCGCCGCGGUAA
rnacentral:rRNA from 1 species